rnacentral:lncRNA from 1 species
UCUGCUUAAGCACUAUAUAUAAUACUGCGAUUAGGAGGAAGCCGUGACAUCAAAGGGACCUCUCCUUCACCCUUCCUGUAAAAAUGCAAAUAAAACCAGUGGAUCCUCACAGUUCUUGGUGUCAGACUGAGAAGAACAACACUACACACCAUGACAGCCACUCUGUUCUGUCUGGUGACUUUAUUGUUCAGCUUCACCCAGGGUGAGGCCCAGCGAUUUCCUUCCAAUGGAGAGACGAAAGGUUCAAAGGAUAUUUUGAACACAACACACAUCAAGAUCUCACAUGAUCCCAAACCAGAGACAUGCUGUAAACGUACAAGUUUUUCGUGCAGUCUGAAAAAAAUCACCCAGUGCUUUAUCACCCCAAGAACAGAUAAAUGUGUUGCUGCUAUCAUGUUUUUCUCUGGAAAUGAAGGAUGCUGCGUUUCUCCUGCAGCUCCAUGGGUUCAGAAAAUACUUAAAGAAUUAGAACAGAAAGGCAAGCCAUGUGAGGACGCCUCAAAGCCUGAGCCCAAUUCCACACUAUGAGCCAAUGGCAGCCAGCAUCUACUGCACACAAGGGCUUCAGUUUCUCUUGAAACAAUGUUUACUGCGAGGGCAUGCCAUUGGAAUUUCAAUUUGACCAU